rnacentral:tRNA from 1 species
ACUCUCUUAGUAUAAUCAAUAUAACUGACUUCCAAUCAGUAGAUUCUGAUAAUAUCAGAAGAGAGUA